CCCUUAGAUGUUCUGGGCUGCACGCGCGCUACACUGAAGCGUUCAACGAGUAUUCACCUUGCCCGGGAGGGUUGGGUAAUCUUUUGAAAACGCUUCGUGAUGGGGAUAGAUUAUUGCAAUUAUUAAUCUUCAACGAGGAAUUCCUAGUAAGCGCGAGUCAUCAGCUCGUGCUGAUUACGUCCCUGCCCUUUGUACACACCGCCCGUCGCUCCUACCGAUUGAAUGGUCCGGUGAAAUCUUCGGAUCUGAGAGAUGUCUGAUUAAUUUCGGACGCCUUUUGGAAAAGUUGUUUAAACCUUACCAUUUAGAGGAAGGUGAAGUCGUANCA
rnacentral:rRNA from 1 species